rnacentral:misc_RNA from 1 species
GAAGUGCGAUAAGUAAUGUGACUUGCAGAAUACCGUGAAUCAUCGAAUCUUUGAACGCAUAUUGCACUCUCAGGCAUUCCGGAGAGUAUGCCUGUUUGAGGGUCAGCUAAAAAAAAAUCAAGCGUUAUUGCUUUUUUGUGGUGACGUUUGGAAUUGAGUCGUCUUAACCUCACGGUCAAGUGACUUAAAAUUUUUUAAUGUGAUUUUCGAAACGUAUUUAAUAUUUUACGUACGUUUGCGAUAUCAAUCUAUUAGAUGUGAUCAUUUCCAUGAUUCGCGUCUAUAGUUUUUCAUUAAAUGACCUCAAAUCAGGUAAGAGUACCCGCUGAACUUAAGC